rnacentral:tRNA from 11 species
GUUCCGCGGUGGGAAGACCGGUUUCAAACCCGGAAUUGGUUUCGUUGCUGCCGUUCGUGAGGGGUUCG